UACGAAGGGGGCUAGCGUUGCUCGGAAUCACUGGGCGUAAAGGGCGCGUAGGCGGCCUUCUAAGUCGAACGUGAAAUCCCCGGGCUCAACCCGGGAACUGCGUCCGAUACUGGAAGGCUUGAAUCCGGGAGAGGGAUGCGGAAUUCCAGGUGUAGCGGUGAAAUUCGUAGAUAUCUGGAGGAACAUCCGAGGCGAAGGCGGCCUCCUGGCAGAACAUUGACGCUAAGGCGCGAAAGCGCGGGGAGCAAACAGG
rnacentral:rRNA from 1 species